rnacentral:rRNA from 1 species
AUUGAACGCUGGCGGCAGGCUUAACACAUGCAAGUCGAGCGGGGGAAGGUAGCUUGCUACUGGACCUAGCGGCGGACGGGUGAGUAAUGCUUAGGAAUCUGCCUAUUAGUGGGGGACAACAUCUCGAAAGGGAUGCUAAUACCGCAUACGUCCUACGGGAGAAAGCAGGGGAUCUUCGGACCUUGCGCUAAUAGAUGAGCCUAAGUCGGAUUAGCUAGUUGGUGGGGUAAAGGCCUACCAAGGCGACGAUCUGUAGCGGGUCUGAGAGGAUGAUCCGCCACACUGGGACUGAGACACGGCCCAGACUCCUACGGGAGGCAGCAGUGGGGAAUAUUGGACAAUGGGGGGAACCCUGAUCCAGCCAUGCCGCGUGUGUGAAGAAGGCCUUAUGGUUGUAAAGCACUUUAAGCGAGGAGGAGGCUACUUUAGUUAAUACCUAGAGAUAGUGGACGUUACUCGCAGAAUAAGCACCGGCUAACUACGUGCCAGCAGCCGCAGUAA